GGAUGUGGUGGGCGCAUUCACGACGGUCUGUCGCAUUUAAAGUUUCUGGGAGGAUUGACACAUUGAGAGCUCUUUCUUGAUUCGGUGGAUGGCGGUGCAUGUUCGCUUUUAGUUGGUGGAGCGAUUUGUCUGGUUAAUUCAGAUAACGAACGAGACGCCAGUCUAUUAAAUAUGUGCGUGAUUUUCUGCACCUUGCAUUCUUCUCAGAGGGAAAAGCGGCUCCUAGCCCCACGAAACAGAGCAAUAACAGGUCUGUGAUGCCCUUAGACGUCCGGGGCCACACGCGCGCCACACUGAAGGAAGCAGUGUGUUUUUAUCUUAGAAAAGAGUGGCUCGAGCAAAUACAGAGGGCUAUUUGAAGUCUAUCGGAUUAUCC
rnacentral:ncRNA from 2 species